rnacentral:rRNA from 1 species
AACGAACGCUGGCGGCAUGCCUAACACAUGCAAGUCGAACGAGACCUUCGGGUCUAGUGGCGCACGGGUGCGUAACGCGUGGGAACCUGCCCUUAGGUUCGGAAUAACUCCCCGAAAGGGGUGCUAAUACCGGAUAAUGUCUUCGGACCAAAGAUUUAUCGCCUUUGGAUGGGCCCGCGUUGGAUUAGCUAGUUGGUAGGGUAAAAGCCUACCAAGGCGACGAUCCAUAGCUGGUCUGGGAGGAUGAUCAGCCACACUGGGACUGAGACACGGCCCAGACUCCUACGGGAGGCAGCAGUGGGGAAUAUUGAACAAUGGGCGAAAGCCUGAUCCAGCAAUGCCGCGUGAGUGAUGAAGGCCUUAGGGUUGUAAAGCUCUUUUACCCGGGAUGAUAAUGACAGUACCGGGAGAAUAAGCGCCGGCUAACUCCGUG